rnacentral:rRNA from 1 species
UAGGGAAUCUUCGGCAAUGGACGGAAGUCUGACCGAGCAACGCCGCGUGAGUGAAGAAGGUUUUCGGAUCGUAAAGCUCUGUCGUAAGAGAAGAACGAGUGUGAGAGUGGAAAGUUCACACUGUGACGGUAUCUUACCAGAAAGGGACGGCUAACUACGUGCCAGCAGCCGCGGUAAUACGUAGGUCCCGAGCGUUGUCCGGAUUUAUUGGGCGUAAAGCGAGCGCAGGCGGUUAGAUAAGUCUGAAGUUAAAGGCUGUGGCUUAACCAUAGUACGCUUUGGAAACUGUUUAACUUGAGUGCAAGAGGGGAGAGUGGAAUUCCAUGUGUAGCGGUGAAAUGCGUAGAUAUAUGGAGGAACACCGGUGGCGAAAGCGGCUCUCUGGCUUGUAACUGACGCUGAGGCUCGAAAGCGUGGGGAGCAAACAGGAUUAGAUACCCUGGUAGUCCACGCUGUAAACGAUGAGUGCUAGGUGUUAGACCCUUUCCGGGGUUUAGUGCCGUAGCUAACGCAUUAAGCACUCCGCCUGGGGAGUACGACCGCAAGGUUG